rnacentral:misc_RNA from 1 species
AAGAGCUGAAGCUGCGGGUGACUGGCCGGAUAUGGAAGGAGCAGCAGAACCCUGAGUCUGGAGUGUGCAUUCCCAAUGUGUGAUGUGUUUUGGUCUCUGUGGUUUGCUGAAUUUCUGGAAUAAGAUGUGUGGUAGUAGUGUGAUAUGUUAUGUUGUAUUUUACCGCUGUCUGUGUCGACUCUGGUUUGUGACUGUCAGACUCUGUAUUUGUG